GUCGGUUUGAAAGACAGACCUCAUACAAAGCAGUUUAUUAAAGCAGUUCUCAUUUCCAGGCGUUAUCCCAGAUAUCCCUUCUUUUUGAGUUUCUCCAUUAAGUGCUAAGUAGUUUCUGUACAACAGGCCAUGUUUGCCUAAAAGGCUCAAUAACUCAAUCAAAGGAAAUAUCACAUGUCUAAUAAAAUGACUGGAAUAGUAAAAUGGUUUAAUGCGGAUAAGGGUUUUGGUUUUAUCUCCCCUACAGAUGGAAGCAAAGACGUAUUCGUGCACUUUUCAGCUAUCCAGAGUAACGAUUAUCGUACUCUGUACGAAGGCCAGAAGGUCGAGUUUUCUAUCGAGAAAGGUGCUAAAGGUCCGGCAGCAGCAAACGUUGUGCCUACAGCGUAAGGCCUUUCCUGAAUCCCUUCCUCUGCGAUAACGAAGACGGCCU
rnacentral:sRNA from 1 species